UGUGAUCGGAGCUCAGGAAAUCCUCCCUCUGCAAAUGGGGGAUCUCAGAAGUCUUAAUGAAGUAACUAUCCCUGAACACUGGGAUCAAUACUCAGCAUCCAGCUGUCAAAUCAACACCAAGCCGCCUCCUGGAGCAGAUUGUUAAGCUGAUGCGAGUCUGGGCUCUGCCUCACCACUUGUCUCAGAGACAGAGUCUUGCUCUGUCACCUAGGCUGGAGUGCAGUGGUGCCAUCACAGCUCACUGCAGCCUCGACCUCCCCGUGCUCAAGUGAUCCUCACACCUCAGCCUCCCGAGUAGCCGCGAUCACAAGUUAAACAAACACAGUUCUUUACAUCAAUGCUUCCGUCCCUGGCCAUCUGGUCUCCUGUCC
rnacentral:lncRNA from 10 species